UGGCACCUAAAGGAUGGGGCUUAUCUGAUUUUUCAAGUGGCAGGACAAAAUAUUUCAAAGGCGAGCUCAUAGGUCUUAUUUACGCAACUCAAUACCUAAAAGUUCCUCUCAUACUUCUCAACUCCAUCUGCAUCAUUUUGAAAUUUAUUUCUGGAUAAUGCCUAGCAAGUGCAACUCAAGGACAUAAACUGGACGUAGUUGAUUAGAUUCUUAGUUCAGGACUUACCAACUGAAUCUGAAACUGUGAUCCCCUAUGUUCACUCCAUGAAACAAGCUCACAAGAUUUUGAGGACAGUUAUAAGCCCAAGACUGAUUUGCUCAAAGCUGUUGCGGUAUUUGCAGCAGCUGCAACUGGGGCAGUGGCAAUUAACCAUUCUUGGGUGGCCGCAAAUCAGGUCUAUCAAUGUCCUCUUAGUUGAAAUUCACUUGUGUAUAUUUCAGCAUGAAGUGUUUGCAUUUGGGAAUAUGUUUACAAGUCUGUGACCAUGACUGCAGGAUCUUGCCAUGGCAUUACUAUUUGUAAUAGGAUAUGUAGGCAUCAUAUUUGAGGAAUCUCUAGCUUUCAACAAAAGUGGAGUAGGACUUAGUAUAGUUGAAGAAUACAUUGAGUUUAUGUUUUGAAUUAUAGUUAAUGUAU